rnacentral:rRNA from 1 species
CGGCUAGUUUUACUAGCAGCGGCAGACGGGUUAGUAACACGUAGGUAUUUACCUUGAAGUCUGGCAUAACUCGGAGAAAUUCGAGCUAAUUCCAGAUAGUCCCGUAAGGGUAAAGAUUUAUCGCUUCAAGAGAAGCCUGCGUCCUAUCAGCUUGUUGGUGAGGUAAAGGCUCACCAAGGCUAUGACGGGUAGGGGGCGUGAGAGCGUGACCCCCAACAAUGGGACUGAGACACGGCCCAU